UACAGAGGUCUCAAGCGUUGUUCGGAUUCAUUGGGCGUAAAGGGUGUGUAGGUGGCGCCGUAAGUCGGGUGUGAAAUUUCGGAGCUUAACUCCGAAACUGCAUUCGAUACUGUGGUGCUUGAGGACUGGAGAGGAGACUGGAAUUCAUGGUGUAGCAGUGAAAUGCGUAGAGAUCAUGAGGAAGACCAGUGGCGAAGGCGGGUCUCUGGACAGUUCCUGACACUGAGGAGCGAAAGCCAGGGGAGCAAACGGG
rnacentral:rRNA from 1 species